rnacentral:lncRNA from 1 species
UGCGAUUCAUUAGAAGUAACCAGUUGACAUAAGGUAAACCGGCAUUGGGAGUUGAGGUGGGGGCUUUCUUCGGGGGAAUGGCAAAGCUUCAUUAACAAUGUCUAACAAGGCGUGCAAUCGCUCUGAUUGGGCAGCUUUGUUCCAACGGCGGGGCCUUAAGCAGGAUGCCCCCCUAAUGAGGGUCACUACCAGAGUUUGAGAAGAUAUUCCCUCCCAUCCCCAGCGCGCUAAAAACAAAAACA